UACGUAGGGUGCAAGCGUUGUCCGGAUUUAUUGGGCGUAAAGAGCUCGUAGGCGGUUUGUCGCGUCGGAUGUGAAAACCCAGGGCUCAACCCGGGGCCUGCAUUCGAUACGGGCAGACUAGAGUAUGGCAGGGGAGACUGGAAUUCCUGGUGUAGCGGUGAAAUGCGCAGAUAUCAGGAGGAACACCGGUGGCGAAGGCGGUUCUCUGGGCAUUACCUGACGCUGAGGAGCGAAAGUGUGGGGAGCGAACAGG
rnacentral:rRNA from 1 species